GAUGAACGCUGGCGGCGUGCUUAACACAUGCAAGUCGAACGGAAAGGCCAGUGCUUGCACUGGUACUCGAGUGGCGAACGGGUGAGUAACACGUGGGUGAUCUGCCCUGUACUUCGGGAUAAGCUUGGGAAACUGGGUCUAAUACCGGAUAGGACAACUUUUUGGAUAUUGUUGUGGAAAGCUUUUGCGGUAUGGGAUGAGCUCGCGGCCUAUCAGCUUGUUGGUGGGGUAAUGGCCUACCAAGGCGUCGACGGGUAGCCGGCCUGAGAGGGUGUACGGCCACAUUGGGACUGAGAUACGGCCCAGACUCCUACGGGAGGCAGCAGUGGGGAAUAUUGCACAAUGGGCGCAAGCCUGAUGCAGCGCCGCCGCGUGGGGGAUGAAGGCCUUCGGGUUGUAAACUCCUUUCGCUAGGGACGAAGCUUUUUUGUGACGGUACCUGGAGAAGAAGCACCGGCUAACUACGU
rnacentral:rRNA from 1 species